UCAGCUCUUACACUUUCCUCUUAACAGCACCUUGUAAAAGCAGAAGAGAUGAAGGAGGAGAGGAGCCGGAGUGCACAGCAAACAUCAAACUGUUCAUUAAAUCUUCAAAGACAACAUCCCAAUGCUGUGUGCCCAGUAGGAGAGGCUUAAUCUGUUAGCUGGAAAAUGCCCACGUUGAGAAUGACUAAUCCUGUACCUGGAGAAUGGAGAUAUUUAAUGCUCCCUGCAGCAGAAGAGCAGGUGGAUGCCUCUCAGUGGCACACUACAUAGAGAGAAGACAUGAAGAGCUGCAGGGAAGCCAAUGUGGAAAGCCAUGAAGGCUUUCAACACCCACCUGUAAUGUCCAGUGUUGUUCUGAAGUCUGAUGUGAAUUUUUCUCUCUGAAGUGGAGAUUUGGGGAUUUGUGUUUAUGGGAAUGCCAGAUUGAUCUCAUGGAUUAGAUUCUGGUGGUGCAUCAAACAACACCUGCCAUGAAUAUGAACAGUCCUGAAUGAGUUACUCAGGGUAAUGCAGAUGGGGCUGAUGACCAGCAAGAAGGGCUUGGCCAGAACAACGGAGAUCCUAAGCUGAAAUGUGCUCGUGCUUCGUCACUGUAAUUAUUUUCAUGAUAAAUGCCAGUUCUGAUUAAACAAUUAUCUGUCAUAAUUGUCUCCAAAUCUGUCAUUACCCAGGAGUCAGCUGUCAUUUGCAAAGAUGUGCUUCUGGAAACGUCUCUGCCUAAUUCCAGUGUGAUGACCCAGCAGAGCAUUGCUGCAGAAUACAGAAAUCACCCUGGGGUGCAACGAGAGUAGAACAGCUCCACCCCAAUGCUCCCCAGAUGCUGAUCUGGUGUCUUGGGGCUGCAGUAGCAUAGCACAAUCCUCAGUGCUGCUCUUG
rnacentral:lncRNA from 1 species